rnacentral:lncRNA from 1 species
CUUUCCAGUUGCCCUAAAUAUCCCUCAGUUACUUUGAAGAACAGUUUCUUCAUAAGGAGCUGUUUCCUGGUCUAUACAGCAGGAAAGACAUGAGGAAGUGGGAUAAGAAGAGAGACCUGUGUAGAACAUAGGAAGCAGAACUUGAAAGGAAGUUGUAAGCAAGAGACACAUAAAACUUCAGGAGUAGGUGAAACUCUGAAUGUUGUCAAUAAAACUAAAUAAUCUGGUGAAGAACUUUAAGUGCUACAAAGCACUGACAUGAUGAAGAACACCUGAUUAUAAGGUAAGUCAGA